rnacentral:rRNA from 1 species
UGGGGAAUAUUGCACAAUGGGCGAAAGCCUGAUGCAGCAACGCCGCGUGAGGGACGACGGCCUUCGGGUUGUAAACCUCUUUUAGCAAGGAAGAAGCGAAAGUGACGGUACUUGCAGAAAAAGCGCCGGCUAACUACGUGCCAGCAGCCGCGGUAAUACGUAGGGCGCAAGCGUUAUCCGGAAUUAUUGGGCGUAAAGAGCUCGUAGGCGGUUUUGUCGCGUCUGCUGUGAAAUCCCGAGGCUCAACCUCGGGUCUGCAGUGGGUACGGGCAGACUAGAGUGCGGUAGGGGAGAUUGGAAUUCCUGGUGUAGCGGUGGAAUGCGCAGAUAUCAGGAGGAACACCGAUGGCGAAGGCAGAUCUCUGGGCCGUAACUGACGCUGAGGAGCGAAAGGGUGGGGAGCAAACAGGCUUAGAUACCCUGGUAGUCCACCCCGUAACGUUGGGAACUAGUUGUGGGGUCCAUUCCACGGAUUCCGUGACGCAGCUAACGCAUUA